AAUGCACAGGUUGUGAACUCGAAGAGUAGGGCGGGACACGUGGUAUCCUGUCUGAAUAUGGGGGGACCAUCCUCCAAGGCUAAAUACUCCUGACUGACCGAUAGUGAACCAGUACCGUGAGGGAAAGGCGAAAAGAACCCCGGCGAGGGGAGUGAAAAAGAACCUGAAACCGUGUACGUACAAGCAGUGGGAGCCUACUUGUUAGGUGACUGCGUACCUUUUGUAUAAUGGGUCAGCGACUUAUAUUCUGUAGCAAGGUUAACCGUAUAGGGGAGCCGAAGGGAAACCGAGUCUUAACUGGGCGUUAAGUUGCAGGGUAUAGACCCGAAACCCGGUGAUCUAGCCAUGGGCAGGUUGAAGGUUGGGUAACACUAACUGGAGGACCGAACCGACUAAUGUUGAAAAAUUAGCGGAUGACCUGUGGCUGGGGGUGAAAGGCCAAUCAAACCGGGAGAUAGCUGGUUCUCCCCGAAAGCUAUUUAGGUAGCGCCUCGUGAACUCAUCUUCGGGGGUAGAGCACUGUUUCGGCUAGGGGGCCAUCCCGGCUUACCAACCCGAUGCAAACUACGAAUACCGAAGAAUGUUAUCACGGGAGACACACGGCGGGUGCUAACGUCCGUCGUGAAGAGGGAAACAACCCAGACCGCCAGCUAAGGUCCCAAAGUCAUGGUUAAGUGGGAAACGAUGUGGGAAGGCACAGACAGCCAGGAUGUUGGCUUAGAAGCAGCCAUCAUUUAAAGAAAGCGUAAUAGCUCACUGGUCGAGUCGGCCUGCGCGGAAGAUGUAACGGGGCUAAACCAUG
rnacentral:rRNA from 1 species